rnacentral:rRNA from 1 species
UACGAAGGGGGCUAGCGUUGUUCGGAUUUACUGGGCGUAAAGCGCACGUAGGCGGAUCUUUAAGUCAGAGGUGAAAUCCCAAGGCUCAACCUUGGAACUGCCUUUGAUACUGGGAGUCUUGAGUUCGGGAGAGGUGAGUGGAACUGCGAGUGUAGAGGUGAAAUUCGUAGAUAUUCGCAAGAACACCAGUGGCGAAGGCGGCUCACUGGCCCGAUACUGACGCUGAGGCACGAAAGCGUGGGAGCAAACAGG